CCUCAGAACAAGCUGGCCAGUGAGAUUAGCCAUACUACAAGCUCUUGGUUUGAUUGAGCCAGUCUGCCUCAGUAAAUAAGCCAGAUAGAGGAUGAUUCAGGACACGGAUUGCCCUGGACAUGCUUGCCCUCCCAUGUAUGUCUGCACCCACACCAUGCAUACAAAAGUGCAUUCACACAUGCAGAACACACACACACACACACACACACACACACAGGGAGAAAAAUGUUUAUAAUGGUCGAUGUGAUUUUACCUGAAUUUGACUAUUAUGAAAAGGAAUCCAAAUUCCUUAGACCCAGCCAGAGUUCUACAAAGCAGCCCUUGCCUUUCAAGCCCCUCAGGUGACAACCGGUUUGCUCCACGAAAACUACCCGACUUUAGUUUGCUGUCUAUCCCCUGAAGAUUCCCCAGAGUAACAGCUUGUCCCACCUCAAGGCUCUUUGCUUAGGAAGAAAGCAAAGAAUAGAACCUGCAAGAUGGCCUGUUCACUUUCCAAUUCUGGUGGCCUGAGUUUGAU
rnacentral:lncRNA from 1 species